rnacentral:misc_RNA from 1 species
GAACAAUUAGAAAUCAAACAUUAGUUCAUGUUUACAGAAUAAAUAUCAUGACAAGUGGCAGACCGGAAGUUUUUGAUUCUGAUGUCACAUCAUAAUAAUCAUGGAUACAAAGCAAUUGAUAUUCACACCAUUUUAGAGCUCAGCAAGACAGAGGACUUCUUUUUGAAUAGCAACAGGGUUGCCAGUAUGUGUGUUGAUUGUGUAAAAAAAUAUCCCAUUAAGAAAAUGCAGUCACCUCGAUAACCAGAGGAAACAACACCAUUU